GACGAACCGUGCGAACGUUGUUCGGAUUCACUGGGCUUAAAGGGCGCGUAGGCGGGCGACCAAGUCGGGGGUGAAAUCUUUCGGCCCAACCGGAAAAGUGCCCCCGAUACUGGCCGCCUCGAGGGGGGUAGGGGCAUGCGGAACUUCGGGUGGAGCGGUGAAAUGCGUUGAUAUCCGAAGGAACGCCGGUGGCGAAAGCGACGUGCUGGAUCUCUUCUGACGCUGAGGCGCGAAAGCCAGGGUAGCGAACGGG
rnacentral:rRNA from 1 species